rnacentral:rRNA from 1 species
UUGGAGGGCAAGUCUGGUGCCAGCAGCCGCGGUAAUUCCAGCUCCAAUAGCGUAUAUUAAAGUUGUUGCAGUUAAAAAGCUCGUAGUUGAAUUUCGGAGUUUGUCGGUUGGUCGGGCUUCACUGUUCGCACUGGCCUGAUGGAUUCCUACCUUCUGAAUAACCAGCAUGCUAUUAAUUUAGUGCGUUGGGGAAGCAGAGCUAUUACCUUGAAAAAAUUAGAGUGCUUAAAGCAGGCUUACGCUUGAAUAGAUUAGCAUGGAAUAAUAAAAUAGGACGGCAUGGUUCUAUUUUGUUGGUUUCUAGGAUCACCGUAAUGAUUAAUAGGGAUAGUUGGGGGCAUUAGUAUUCAAUUGUCAGAGGUGAAAUUCUUGGAUUUAUUGAAGACUAACUUCUGCGAAAGCAUUUGCCAAGGAUGUUUUCAUUAAUCAAGAACGAAAGUUAGGGGAUCGAAGACGAUCAGAUACCGUCGUAGUCUUAACCAUAAACUAUGCCGACUAGGGAUCGGACGAUGUUAAUUUUUUAAUGACCCGUUCGGCGCCUUACGGGAAAC